rnacentral:lncRNA from 1 species
AGGCAGGCUUGCGAUUCAGAAAAUGGAGUUCAGUCAAUGGAAUGUUCUCUCAUUUCUGAAUAGCCAUAUUGAGUUGUUUUUGAGCAUCUGCUCAACAUUCUUAGAUAGUGACCACAACCUCACCAUCGUGUCGGGUGUGGUUGUGGUUGCUUCUUCUGUUCCUGUGCUUCCUGGUGGGGAUUCCAUCUUCACCAACCUUCUGGAAAACCAAAAUCUACCAAAAGGCUCAGGGAAGAAUAGAAGCAGAGGCUGGAGAAAAGGCUGUGGAUGCUGGACAAUCCUGAUGAGAGGGAAAAGCAGGCAGACACCGUGGGCUGAGAGCCUGCUGCCUCACCGCUUCAAAGAUCACAAGCCACCAAGGGCACUCUUCUAGGAGAAAAAACUAACGCUCAAGUUAUGUCGUCUUACCAAGCAGGACACUCUGUAUUUGCUGUCCCAUCUGUGAGGGGAUUUGCAUGGAAACCUCCCCCAGUGCUAAUGGGAGUCGUUCUCCAACGCAGUCCUCUCUGCAUAGAGGACGGGACGGCUGCCACGGGGAUAUGAAGCUCGGGUCAUUUAAUAAAAAAAGCUCUUGGAAUUAGCACUCCCCAGGUUUCAGAGAUCCAUGUAGUGUAAUUUACUUCCACAUUUUCCUCUCAAUCUGAAGUCUGAAUGUGUUAUCUAAGCUUAGAUACAAGGUUAUCCAAGCAGUGACCUUGGUGGGAAUCUGGCUUCCCUGGGUCUUCUGGAAAAAUGGUCAUCCAAUCUUUUCUUCCUGUCCCCCCUUUAUAAGAAUACAGAAAAGCAACUACUUACAGAAAUAAAGCAAUUAUUAUAAAAAAGAAGAAUUUAUUAACAAUAUGGCUUGAAAAUGAACUGAACUAAAUUUUUCCCUCUUCGUAUGAAUUGGAUUUUUUCCUGUAAACAUGUUUAAUUAGAAACACGCAGUGAGAGCAAG